rnacentral:rRNA from 1 species
UCUCUAAAAUAUAUAAACGACUCUCGGCAACGGAUAUCUCGGCUCUCGCAUCGAUGAAGAACGUAGCGAAAUGCGAUACUUGGUGUGAAUUGCAGAAUCCCGUGAACCAUCGAGUCUUUGAACGCAAGUUGCGCCCGAAGCCUUCUGGCUGAGGGCACGCCUGCCUGGGCGUCA